CCAGGCCCGGCCGCGCUGCCCCCUGCCGGCCGCCCGCUCCUGCCUCCGCCCGGGGGAAGGCGCUUGAAGAGGGCCCGGAGCUGGUGCUGCAGCGUACGACUACCUGUCUUCGCAGAAGUGCUGGUGCUCCUCGGGGUGCGUUUCUCCCAGCAGCAGCCUUUCAAGGCCUCUUUCCUCGGCAAGCAGCAUGCUGACAUUUCAAUAUUCCUUCAGCUCACCGGUUCAGACUAGAGUCACAGUGAGAAAAGCAACUUGGGUAACCAUGAAUAGCCUGAGAUUCAUUUCACUGGAUUUCCCAAGAAUUUAAUUUUAAAUUGAAAGCCCAUUGAACUUUUACUGAUGUGGAAUUGAACGCUGUAGAGCUCCCUCAAAAAGCUUCUAGCAUUUAAACAGCAUCAAAAGAAAGGAGUUCACAGUAGAUAUAAAAGAUUUCCGUGAAACAGAUCCUGUAUUGAUAAAGUUACUUUGAGAUGAGCAUUUA